GACGUAGGGGGCGAGCGUUGUCCGGAUUUAUUGGGCGUAAAGCGUGCGUAGGCGGCUGCGCAAGUCGGGUGUGAAACCCCGGGGCUCAACCCCGGAACCUGGCAUCCGAUACUGCGUGGCUAGAGGUAGGUAGGGGAGAUCGGAAUUCCUGGUGUAGCGGUGAAAUGCGCAGAUAUCAGGAGGAACACCGGUGGCGAAGGCGGAUCUCUGGGCCUUACCUGACGCUCAGGCACGAAAGCUAGGGAGCGAACAGG
rnacentral:rRNA from 1 species